UGGGGAAUUUUGGACAAUGGGCGAAAGCCUGAUCCAGCAAUGCCGCGUGUGUGAAGAAGGCCUUCGGGUUGUAAAGCACUUUUGUCCGGAAAGAAAUCCUCUGGGUUAAUACCUCGGGGGGAUGACGGUACCGGAAGAAUAAGCACCGGCUAACUACGUGCCAGCAGCCGCGGUAAUACGUAGGGUGCAAGCGUUAAUCGGAAUUACUGGGCGUAAAGCGUGCGCAGGCGGUUUUGUAAGACGGAUGUGAAAUCCCCGGGCUUAACCUGGGAACUGCAUUCGUGACUGCAAGGCUAGAGUAUGGCAGAGGGGGGUAGAAUUCCACGUGUAGCAGUGAAAUGCGUAGAGAUGUGGAGGAAUACCGAUGGCGAAGGCAGCCCCCUGGGCCAAUACUGACGCUCAUGCACGAAAGCGUGGGGAGCAAACAGGAUUAGAUACCCUGGUAGUCCACGCCCUAAACGAUGUCAACUAGUUGUUGGGGAUUCAUUUCCUUAGUAACGUAGCUAACGCGUGAAGUUGACCGCCUGGGGAGUACGGUCGCAAGAUUAAAAC
rnacentral:rRNA from 1 species